AGUGGCGAACGGGUGAGUAACACGUAGGUAACCUGCCCAUGUGCCCGGGAUAACGGUUGGAAACGACUGCUAAAACCGGAUAGGUAGGAGGAAGGCAUCUUCCUUCUAUUAAAGGGGCUCCGGCCCUGAACAUGGAUGGACCUGCGGUGCAUUAGCUAGUUGGUGAGGUAACGGCCCACCAAGGCGACGAUCAGUAGCCGACCUGAGAGGGUGAUCGGCCACAUUGGAACUGAGACACGGUCCAAACUCCUACGGGAGGCAGCAGUGGGGAAUAUUGCACAAUGGGGGAAACCCUGAUGCAGCAACGCCGCGUGAAGGAUGAAGGCCCUUGGGUCGUAAACUUCUGUUCUAAGGGAAGAUAAUGACGGUACCUUAGGAGCAAGUCCCGGCUAACUACGUGCCAGCAGCCGCGGUAAUACGUAGGGGGCAAGCGUUAUCCGGAAUUAUUGGGCGUAAAGAGUGCGUAGGUGGUUUCCUAAGCAUGGGGUUUAAGGCAAUGGCUUAACCAUUGUUCGCCCCAUGAACUGGGUGACUUGAGUUCUGGAGAGGAAAGCGGAAUUCCUAGUGUAGCGGUGAAAUGCGUAGAUAUUAGGAGGAACACCAGUGGCGAAGGCGGCUUUCUGGACAGAUACUGACACUGAGGCACGAAAGUGUGGGGAGCAAACAGGAUUAGAUACCCUGGUAGUCCACACCGUAAACGAUGAGCACUAGGUGUCGGGGUCGCAAGACUUCGGUGCCGCAGUUAACGCAUUAAGUGCUCCGCCUGGGGAGUACGUACGCAAGUAUGAAACUCAAAGGAAUUGACGGGGACCCGCACAAGCAGCGGAGCAUGUGGUUUAAUUCGAAGCAACGCGAAGAACCUUACCAGGGCUUGACAUCCCUCUGACAGAUCUGAUAACGAUGAUCUUUCUUCGGACAGAGGUGACAGGUGGUGCAUGGUUGUCGUCAGCUCGUGUCGUGAGAUGUUGGGUUAAGUCCCGCAACGAGCGCAACCCUUGUUUCUAGUUGCCAUCAUUAAGUUGGGCACUCUAGAGAGACUGCCGGGGAUAACUCGGAGGAAGGUGGGGAUGACGUCAAAUCAUCAUGCCCCUUAUGUUCUGGGCUACACACGUGCUACAAUGGUCGGUACAAAGAGCAGCAAGACCGCGAGGUGGAGCAAAUCUCAAAAGCCGAUCCCAGUUCGGAUUGCAGGCUGCAACUCGCCUGCAUGAAGUCGGAGUUGCUAGUAAUCGUGGAUCAGAAUGCCACGGUGAAUGCGUUCCCGGGUCUUGCACUAACCGCCCGUCA
rnacentral:rRNA from 1 species